GACAGAGGGGGCAAGCGUUGCUCGGAAUUACUGGGCGUAAAGGGCGCGUAGGCGGGAUGGCAAGUCGGUCGUGAAAUCCCUCGGCUCAACUGAGGAGCGUCGAUCGAAACUGCCGUUCUUGAGGGUUGCAGAGGAGACUGGAAUUCCCGGUGUAGCGGUGAAAUGUGUAGAGAUCGGGAGGAACACCGGUGGCGAAGGCGGGUCUCUGGGCAACUCCUGACGCUGAGGCGCGAAAGCGUGAGGAGCAAACGGG
rnacentral:rRNA from 1 species